GUUAAUGCCACUGUUCCUGCAGCUUUGUGCUUGUUUCCUUUUGGUCCUCAGAUCUCCUGGUGGAGGUUUUAGCAGGUGAUGAGGGUUUGGAUCAGAAGAUCAAGUUCCUCAGAGAGAACCACUUCCUUCAUAACCUCACCGUGUCCAGGGAAGGUCCCAGCUGGAGGCUGAUGACGGCUCUCCGACUGUUGUCCCUGCCACAAACACUAUAUCACCAGUGGAAGGCGGUGUUGCUCGGCCAGGGGGUGUGUGAAGAGAGAGAGGAGAGGAGCGUGCAGACAGCUAAGACUCUCUGUCUACGACUACUACAGGACACUCACACAGCCCUGGAUAAGGUGUGUGUACACGCACACACACACACACACACACACACACACACG